GAUGAAGAACGCAGCGAAAUGCGAUACUUGGUGUGAAUUGCAGAAUCCCGUGAACCAUCGAGUCUUUGAACGCAAGUUGCGCCCGAAGCCAUUAGGCCGAGGGCACGCCUGCCUGGGCGUCACACGUCGUUGCCCCCCCAUCUACUCCUUCGGGAUUGCGGGGGGCGGUUGAUGGCCUCCCGUGCGCCUCGCCGCGCGGUUGGCAUAAAUGCCAAGUCCUCGGCGACGCACGCCACGACAAUCGGUGGUUGCGAAACCUCGGUUGCCCGUCGUGUGCGGUCGUCGCGCAUCGAGGGCUCGAAAAAAUUGCCGGGUUCCGGCUCGGCUUUCAACGCGACCCCAGGUCAGGCGGGGUUACCCGCUGAAUUUAAGCAUAUCAAUAAGCGGAGGA
rnacentral:misc_RNA from 1 species